rnacentral:rRNA from 1 species
UGGGGAAUAUUGGACAAUGGGCGCAAGCCUGAUCCAGCCAUGCCGCGUGAGUGAUGAAGGCCCUAGGGUUGUAAAGCUCUUUCACCGGUGAAGAUAAUGACGGUAACCGGAGAAGAAGCCCCGGCUAACUUCGUGCCAGCAGCCGCGGUAAUACGAAGGGGGCUAGCGUUGUUCGGAUUUACUGGGCGUAAAGCGCACGUAGGCGGACUUUUAAGUCAGGGGUGAAAUCCCGGGGCUCAACCCCGGAACUGCCUUUGAUACUGGAAGUCUUGAGUAUGGUGGAGGUGAGUGGAAUUCCGAGUGUAGAAGUGAAAUUCGUAGAUAUUCGGAGGAACACCAGUGGCGAAGGCGGCUCACUGGACCAUUACUGACGCUGAGGUGCGAAAGCGUGGGGAGCAAACAGG